AGCUAAUAUCAAAAUGAGGUACUCAAUUGGGACUGCAGAAAGUGAUGCUGCAUCUAGGAAGAGGAAGGGCAAGUGCAAAGAGGGAGAGGAUGAAGUUGAAAGAGAAAGAAAAGCAUCUCAAGAGAGAAGGUUGGCCACAUUGGAUAUUUUUGCUGGUUGUGGUGGCUUGUCAGAGGGAUUGCAGCAUGCAGGCAUCUCAUCAACCAAGUGGGCCAUUGAAUAUGAAGAACCUGCUGGAGAAGCAUUCAAGCUCAAUAAUCCAACG
rnacentral:misc_RNA from 1 species